rnacentral:lncRNA from 1 species
UUUGGUUUUGAUAUUAAUACAGUUUGGUUUGGUUUAAAAAAAUUGUCAAACCGUAUUUUACGGUACGGUUUGGUUUGAUUUUAAUGUCAAACUGCACCAAACCAAACCGCAAACACCCGUAGUUAAAAUUUUCUCUUUUCUCUCAAUUUUUUUUAUUAAAUUUUCUUUUUUCUUUAGUUUUUUUAUUUUAUUUUAUUUUUUCAAAAAACCUUAACUUCAUGAAAAAAAA